UUCCCAAGACCAUAAUACCUAGGCCCAUACCCCUAAACUAAUUCCUACCCCCAUAUAAUAGUACUUAAUGCCUAAAUAAGGCCGUACGCCAAAAACAACCCAAUCCGCUGUUUGUCUUCAUAAAUCAAAAGAAAAGACAAAAAAGAUGACAAUAAGAAAAGGACCAAAAAGCUGACCUAGGGAUACAAUCAAACGCUAUAACCAAAAAGAGAGGAGCCAUCUUUUGACAAAAAAAUCGUACCCCCACCCCCUGACUUCAUCUUCUCCAAACGACCCCCCUUUUCCUCUUCUCCGGCGGAGCCCACACCAGCGACCAACAGCAGCCCCUAUUUCGCCAAAAAAUAAGCAGAAAUAGACCGGAAAAAGUCCCCGACGAGGUCCCGGUUCAAGUUUCCGGCGUACGGUCAGAGGCUAAGGAGGAACUUCGUAGGCAAGAAGUGGAGGUAGUCCUCUCAUAUUCUUCUUAUUCUCGUCUUAGCAAACUCUAUAGUAUGCUUUAUCUAUCAUCCAAAAUAUGUACUUUGUCAUCUCUCAUUUAUUGUGUUUUAAAUUCUAUUUAAAUCUGAUUACCUUAGAUGACGACAACGUGCAUUAGUCUGUUAAUUUAUCUAUACAAAUUUAAGAGGGGUGGUAUUCAAUAGAACUAUGUUCAUUUUAUGUUCUACCUAAGCAGAAAUUCGAAAAGUUUCUUAUUUCGCGUAAGAACAUACAAACCAUUUAUCCUAGAUAUAUGUGUUCAAGUUAUAUCUCAGUUCAAAUGGGUGUAUUUCAGAAAUUGAGGCAAUGCGAUUAAAUUGAUUUUUUUAAUUACCAAAUUCGGGUGUGCAUUUCAUGUGACCCUACCAUAAUUUUGAAUAAUGAUAGUAGAAAUUAUCAUGUUAUAAAUCCGGGUGUACAUUUUAUGUGACCCGGCUCUCAUUUCCAACAAGGUUAAAUAGAACGUGUCGUGAACCACGGGUGCAUUUCAUGUAGCGUGGCUUGCGAUGUGUUUUGAAUAACCUUGAAUUAAUCCUUUAAAUAAUUAAAGCGAUUUUCAAAAGUUAAAAAUGCACAUAGGUUUAAAACUAUUUUAAAAAUCAAAUAAAUAGGCCAAUAAUAAUAGUUGAGCGACCGUGCUAGAACCACUGAAUCCGGAAAUGCCUAACACCUUCUCCCGGGUUAACAUAAUUCCUUACCCGGAUUUCUGUGUUUGCGGACUAUAAAACAGAGUCAAUCUUUUCUCAAUUCGGGAUUUGAACUGGUGACUUGGGACACCAUAAACCAUCCCAAGUGGCGACUCUGAUUUUAAAUAAAAUAAUCCCGUUUCGAUUGUUACUUAAAUUGGAAAGAACUCCCUUAUGCCGCCCUCGGGCGGUAAAAACAGGUGUGACACUUUUGAUACGAAUGAACAUGUGGGGGAAUAAGGAUUUCAUUGAUGUAAAUUUUGUCAGAUUCCGAGACGUGGGCUCGGGGGUCGGGUUUGGUAAAUUUUGGGAUUUGUUUUGUAAUUUGGUUACUUUCGAGUGGGCUUUGUUCCCUUAGCAUAUUUUGAUGAUUAUAUACUGAUUUUGGUUAGAUUUUGGGUCAUCACCUGUUUUUAAAAUGAAUUCUAUGUUCUGAGGCCUUAACCUCUUUUUGUCUCACAUCGAUUUGCGUGCACAGUCGGGACACGUAGCCGGAAAGCUAAUAUGUGAAAAUCUGUGGAAAAUGGUAAAUUUUGAUUAUAAAAUGAAUUAGGUUGACUUCGGUCAAUAUUUUGGGUAAAUGGACCGAACCCAUGAUUUGACGGUCCUGGAGGGUCCGUAGGAAAAUAUGGGACUUGGGCGUAUGCCCGAAAUCGAAUUCCGAGGUCUCAAGCCCGAGAAAUAAAUUUUUAAAGAAAAUUGUUUUUCUGAAUAUAUUUAUGAGAUUUAGAAAUGAAUUGUUAUUAGAACUUGAUGGUAUCGGGCCCGUAUUUUGGUUCCGGCAGGUCUUAUAUUUGAUUUAAGAUAAGUCUGUGAAAUUUGGUAAGAAAUGGACUUGAAACGACGUGAAUCGGAUCAUUUUUUAGAAAACUGGAAAUUUGAAGUUCUUAAGAAAAUUUCAUGAUUUUGAUGCUAAAUUCCUAGUUGUUGAUGUUAUCUUAGUGAUUUGAAUGCACGAGCAAGUCCGUAUGAUAUUUUUAGAUUGGUGUGCAUGUUUGGUUGAGAGCCCCGAGGGCUCGGGUGAGUUUUGGAUAGGCCACAAAGUGAAAUUUUAACUUAGGAAAUUGCUGGUAUGCUUCAGGCCUACAGGCUUCGCAUCUCGCAAAUGCGAGCAAUGUAUCGCAAAUGCGAUAGGUGGCCUGGGUUGCCUUCUUCGCAAAUGCGAACUGUCUAUUGCAAAUGCGACGUCUGCCUGGAAUCCCCCUUAGUCACAAAUGCGAGACCUCAGUCGCACAUGCGACUUCACAAAUGCGACACUGCUUUCGCAAAUGCGAACAUAGCAGAGGUCGGGGUUCGCAAUUCCCAUAUCUGCAACCUGUAAUUUUUAUACUUAGCCGAAAAUCAACCAUUUUUCACACUCUUUCAAAACCAAAACACUCUCGGGCGAUUUUUCAAAGACAACUCUUCUUCCAAAUCGAUUGUAAGUCAAUUUCAACUCUUUUUCUUCAAUCAUUAACAUCUUUUAACAUGAUUUCAACUCAAAAUCAAUGAUUUUCAUGGGGGAAAUAGAGUGUAUUGGGUAGAACCUAGGUUUUUCAAAAAUUGAGGAUUUGGACCUCGAUUUGAGGUCCGAUUUCAAACAAAUUAUAUAUUUGGGUUUGUGGGAAAAUGGGUAAUCGAGUUUUUGUUCGAACCUCGGGUUUUGACCAUGUGGGCCUGGGGGCAAUUUUUGACGUUUUGGGUAAAAAUUUCGAAAACUCAUUUUUAUGCAUUGGGGUUGAUUCAUUUAGCGUUUAUUGAUGUAAUUAAGUAACUUGUGGCUAUAUACGAGCAAAUUAGUGGUGGAAUCAAAGGGUAAAGCAAUAAUUGAGACGUGAAUUGUGACGUGAAUUGUGUUCGUGGCAUCGAUGUAAGUGUUUGGUUUAACCUGAGCUUGAGGGAUUAGGAGUUGUGUCCUAUUUGCUACUUGUUUCUUAUUGAGUACGAUGUAUAGGCAUGGUGACGAGUAUCUAUACAUUGGUGUCGAGCAUGAUCGUGAGCCUUAAAUUGUGAUUUAUUGUGUUCUUGAAUAAUACUACGGAUGCUUAAAUUGAUUAUUCUCUGUAUUGAGCAAGGAUUAUGAUUGUUCUCGUGGAAUUACUUAUGAUUGAGUAUUGGUGUUAGCUGAAGUAGUUAGAUGUUGGAACAAGUUUGGUUAUAGCUAUUUCUCCCUUGCCGGGAUGUAUUUAUUGAUACUGUCGAUUCCCUUGCCGGAAUAGUGUAGUUCUUUAUUGAUACCUUGCCGGGACUCUUGUUAUGAUUGUUGUUGAUUAUAUAUGUGGAUCGGGUUGCACGCCGCAAUAAUAUUAUAUGUGGAUCGGGUUACACGCCGCAACAAUAUUAUAUGUGGAUGGUUGCACGUCGCAACAAUGAUAUAUGUGGAUCGGGUUACACGUCGCAACAAUGAUAUAUGUGGAUCGGGUUGCACGCCGUAAUAGUGUUGUUAUAUUUUGGGAUCGGGUUGCGUGCCGCAACAAUUAUUGAUACAAAGUGUUUAUAGAUUGGAUACAAGUUUCUUAUUGUUUUGCCGUGAAUUCUAAGCUAUCAUUAUGCCGUUACUCUUGAUUUACUGUUGAUAUUGAUACACCCCUCGCAGCAUGUACCCUCAUCCCAUCUUUACUUGUUUAUUCCUGCUUCAUUUUAUGCAGUAUAUUAUAUAACUGCACAGGUUCAUUUGGUAGUCUGGUCAUUGCCUCGUCACUACUUCGCCGAGGUUAGGCUAGGCACUUACCAACACAUGGGGUCGGUUGUGCUGAUACUACACUCUGCACUAUGUGCAGAUCCCGGAGCAGCUCUUGGACCAUAGCAUUUGGGUGGCUACCUUCAGUCCACGCAGAGAUCCAAGGUAGACCUGUAGGCGUCCGCAGGCCCUGGCGUCUCCUCUAUCCUUUAUUUCCUGUUUCAUUUCUUUGAUUUAGAAACAGCGUAUCUUUAUUUUCAGACUUUAUAUUUAGCACUCUUAGAUCAUCUGUGGUACUGUGACACCAGUUCUGGGUGAUUAAGGCUUAAAUAGUUGUAUUAGAUUCAUAUUUCACAUAUUUUACUACAUUUCUUCCGCUUAAUGAAAUUUUCGUUGUUUUUCACAUUAUUGCUUUAUAAAUGCUAAAAGGGUAUAAAAAUGGAUAAAGGUAAUUUGUUCAAUAAUUGGCUUGCCUAGCUCACAUUAGUAGGCACCAUCACGACUCCCGAGGGUGGGAAAUCCGGGUCAUGACAAGUUGGUAUCAGAGCUCUAGGUUACUUGGGUCUCACAGUUCACAGACAAGCUUAGUAAAUCUGAGGGAUCGGUAUAGAGACGUCUGUAUUUAUCCCUAGAGGCUACAUAGUUAGGAAAAACUUCACAUUUAUUCCUUCCUGUCAUGCGGUUUGGUUUCUCAAUGCUAAUUGAAUUUCUACUCUGUUUUUUCGUAAAUGGCGAGAACACGCGCUUCCUCAUCCACUGACCAGCAGCCCGAGCCCCCAGCAGCAACUCCCACGAGGGGCAGAGGGCGAGGCCGAGGCCGUGCUAGAGGCCUAGGUAGGGACAGAGCUCAGCCCAAAGCAGCAGCAUCAGCAGUAGAUCCUCAGGUUGAUUUUGAUGUUUAAGUUCUAGCCCCAGCAGUUCCGGUGGGCCCAGCUCAGGUCCCAUAGGGGUUUAUUGCUACCCCAGUACUCUAGGAUGCUCUGGUCCGUCUAGUGGACCUUAUGGAGAGUGUCACCCGGGCAGACUUGCUUCCUAUAGCACCAGCCAUCUCUUAGGCUGGAAGAGGAGCCCAGACUCCUGCUACUCGCACUUUGGAGCAGGUAGCUCCCCAGUUUCAGACUCCAACAGUUCAGCCAGUUGGAGCAGUUCAGACAGGUGUGGUAGCUCAGAUCGGUGAUGGAGCAUCUAUGUCUGCUGAUGCUUUGUAGAGAUUGGACAGGUUCACCAAGCUCUUCACAACUACCUUCAGCGGUGCAUCUUCUAAGGAUCCCCAGGAUUAUCUAGACAGCUGUCAUGAGGUUCUCAGGAUCAUGGGGAUAGUAGAGACCAAUAGGGUCGAUUUUUGUACCUUUUGCUUGUCGGGAUCCGCAAAGACUUGGUGGAGAGACUAUUGUUUGGAUAGACUAUCUGGAUUACCAGCCUUGACUUGGGAGAAAUUUACUCAGCUAUUUCUGGAGAAGUUUCUCCCCAUCACUCAGAGAGAAACCUAUCGGAGGCAGUUUGAGCGUCUUCAGUAGGGUUCUGUGACUGUUACCUAGUAUGAGACCAGAUUCAUCGACUUGGCUCAUCAUGCUCUUAUCAUACUUCCCACCGAGAGAGAGAGGGAUCUUCAGAUGGCUAGGGAGGCUGGGAGUGAGAUAUCUUUCCAGGAGGUAGCCAAUGUGGCCCGGAGAGUUGAGAUGGUUCUAUCGCAGGGAGAUGGUCAUGGGUCGGACAAGAGGCCCCGUCAUUCAGGCAGAUCCACUCUGGAGCCAGGGAUUCAUAUGGUAGAGGCCAUCCUCCUAGGCCCUUUCAGUCAACACUUCAGGUUUCUCACGGUGCUUUGGGUGGCCGUAGUUCUCAUAUGCAGUAUUCUGAUCAGCAGUCCUACAGUGCACCACCAACUCCUAUCAGUACACCGACGCUCAAGAGUUUUUGGGGUGGUCAUUAAUGUCGCCAGGGUCAGUCUUAGUUUCCUCUACUGUAGCAUUCAGGUGGAUGUUUUAAGUGUGAUAAGUAUGGUCAUAUCAGGAGGGCUUGUCCUAGAUUGGUAGGUACUCAGUCGCAGCGGUAUGGUUCCCGUGUUAUGGUUCAGGCACCAGGUGUUCCACAACCCGCCCAGCCAGCUAGAGGUGGGGGUAAAGGUGCUAGAGAUAGAGGUAGAGGUCAGACCGCUAGAGGUGGAGGCCAACCAGCUGCAGGCCGUCCCAAAGAUGUAGUCCAGGGUGGUGGGGCCCAACCCCGAGGGUAUGCUCUUCCAGCUAGGCUUGAGGCUGAGGCUUCCGAUGUAGUUAUCAUAGGUAUUGUUCUAGUUUGUGGCCGAGAUUCUUCAGUUUAUUUAAUCCAGGGUCUAUAUACUCCUAUGUGUCAUCUUAUUUUGCACCGUAUCUGGUCAUGCCUAGUCAUUCCUUUAGUGCCUCUAUUGUGGUAGAUCGAGUCCAUCGCUUUUGCAUAGUUGUGAUUAGGGGUCUUGAGACUCGUGUAGAUUUGUUUCUUCUGGACAUGGUUGAUUUCGAUGUCAUAUUGGGGAUGGACUGGUUAUCACCUUACCACGCUAUCUUGGACUAUUAUGCCAAGACUAUGACCUUAGCCUUGCCGGAUUUACCUCGUUUGGAGUGGAAAGGGACUCCUGGUCAUUCUACCCGUAGUGUCAUCUCUUAUGUGAAGGCUCGACGUAUGGUCGAGAAGGGGUGUUUGGCCUAUUUGGCAUAUGUUUGUGAUUCUAGUGCCGAGGUUCCUUCCAUUGAUUCUGGGCCUGUUGCUUGUAAGUUCCCUAAGGUAUUUCCUUCAGACCUGCCAGGUAUGCCACCUGAUAGGGAUAUUGACUUUUGCAUUGAUUUGGCUCCGGGCACUCAACCCAUUUUUAUUCCACCGUAUUAUAUGGCCCCGCCUGAGUUGAAAGAGUUGAAGGAGCAGUUACAAGACUUGCUUGAGAAGGGUUUCAUUAGACCGAGUGUUUCACCUUGGGGUGUGCCAGUGUUGUUUGUUAAGAAGAAGGACAGAUCAAUGAGAAUGUGUAUCGAUUACCGGCAAUUGAACAAGGUUACAAUCAAGAAUAAGUAUCCAUUGCCGAGGAUUAAUGAUUUGUUUGAUCAGCUUCAGGGUGCCAAGGUAUUCUCGAAGAUUGACUUGAGAUCUGUCUACCAUCAGUUGAGGAUUAAGGCAUCCGAUGUCCCUAAGACAGCUUUCCACACUCAGUACGGGCAUUAUGAGUUCCUGGUGAUGUCAUUCGGGUUGACAAAUGCCCCAACAGCUUUUAUGGAUUUGAUGAACUGAGUGUUCAGGCCUUACAUGGGUUCAUUCGUGAUAGUCUUCAUUGAUGAUAUUUUGAUAUAUUCCCGCAAUCGGGAGGUACACAAGCAUCAUCUUAGAGUGGUUCUUCAGACUUUAAGGGAUAGUCAGUUGUAUGCCAAGUUUUUAAAAUGUGAGUUCUGGUUGAGUUCAGUUGCAUUCCUGGGUCAUGUUGUAUCUGCAGAGGGUAUUCAGGUUGAUCCGAAGAAGAUUGAGGUAGUCAAGAACUAGCCUAGACCAGCAUCAGCUACAGAGAUUCGGAGUUUCUUGGGAUUGACAGGAUAAUACCGUCGGUUUGUGGAGGGGUUUUCAUCUAUCGCAGCCCCGAUGACUACGUUGACCUAGAAGGGUGACUAGUUCAGAUGGUCGGACGAGUGUGAGGAGAGCUUUUAGAAGCUCAAGACAGCUCUGACUAUGGCACCGGUGUUGGUUUUACCCAUAGGUUUAGGGCCUUAUACAGUUUAUUGUGAUGCAUCUCGUAUUGGACUUGGUGCGGUGUUGAUGCAGGAUGGCAAGGUCAUUGUCUAUUCUUCGCGGCAGUUGAAGAUUCAUGAGAAGAAGUAUCCAGUUCAUGAUUUGGAGUUGGCAGCCAUUUUUCACUCGUUGAAGAUCUGGAGGCAUUAUCUGUAUGGCAUGGCAUGUGAGGUGUUCACGAUCACAAGAGUCUGCAGUAUUNNNNNNNNNNNNNNNNNNNNNNNNNNNNNNNNNNNNNNNNNNNNNNNNNNNNNNNNNNNNNNNNNNNNNNNNNNNNNNNNNNNNNNNNNNNNNNNNNNNNNNNNNNNNNNNNNNNNNNNNNNNNNNNNNNNNNNNNNNNNNNNNNNNNNNNNNNNNNNNNNNNNNNNNNNNNNNNNNNNNNNNNNNNNNNNNNNNNNNNNNNNNNNNNNNNNNNNNNNNNNNNNNNNNNNNNNNNNNNNNNNNNNNNNNNNNNNNNNNNNNNNNNNNNNNNNNNNNNNNNNNNNNNNNNNNNNNNNNNNNNNNNNNNNNNNNNNNNNNNNNNNNNNNNNNNNNNNNNNNNNNNNNNNNNNNNNNNNNNNNNNNNNNNNNNNNNNNNNNNNNNNNNNNNNNNNNNNNNNNNNNNNNNNNNNNNNNNNAUGUGGUGGCCGACGCUUUGAGUAGGAAGUCAGCCAGUAUGGGCAGUCUUGCUUUGGAUGUUCAGGCUUUGGCCAAUCAGUUCCUGAGGUUGGAUGUUUCUGAGCCCAGUCGUGUGUUAGCUUGCACGGUCGCUCGUUCCUCUUUAUUGGAGCGUAUCCAUGAUCAGCAGUAUGAUGAUCCCUAUUUGUGUGUCCUUAGAUACACGGUGCAGCACGGAGGAGCCAAGCAGGUUACUUUAGGUGAUGAUGGAGUUUUGAGAUUGCAGGGUCGAAUUUGCGUGCCUAAUGUAGAUAGGCUCUGAGAGUUGAUUUUAAAGGAGGCCCAUAGUUCCCGAUACUCUAUUCAUCUGGGCACUGCUAAGAUGUAUCAGGAUUUGCGGCAACAUUAUUAGUGGAGAAGAAUGAAGAAGGAUAUCGUUGCAUAUGUGGCUUGGUAUUUGAACUGUCAGCAGGUUAAGUACGAGCAUCAGAGGCCUAGUGGUUUAUUUCAGAGGAUUGAGCUUCCCGAGUGGAAGUGGGAGCGGAUCACUAUGGACUUUGUUGUUGGACUCCCAUGGACUCAGAGGAAGUUCGAUGCAGUGUGGGUUAUUGUUGAUAGGCUAACUAAGUCAGCACAUUUCAUUCCUGUGGAAGUCUCCUAUUUUUUCGAGAGGUUAGGUAAGAUCUAUAUCCGGGAGAUUGUUUGUCUUCAUGGUGUGCCCGAGUCUAUCAUUUCGGACCGAGGUACGCAAUUUACCUCGCAUUUUGGAGAGCAGUUCAGCGAGAGUUGGGCACACCGGUUGAGUUGAGCACAACAUUUCAUCUUCAAACGGAUGGGCAGUCCGAGCGGUAUGGUAGGCUCGUGGGAUCAGUUUUUGCCUUUAGCGGAGUUUGCCUACAACAACAGCUACCCAUCGAGUAUCUAGAUGGCUCCUUAUGAGGCUUUGUAUGGUAGGCGAUGACGGUCGCCAGUUGGAUGGUUUGAGCUGCAAAAGGUCCGGUUGUUGGGUACAGAUCUGGUUUAGGAUGUCUUGGACAAGGUCAGGAUUAUUCAGGAUAGGCUUCGUAUAGCUUAGUCCAAGAAAAAGAGUUAUGCCGACUGUACAGUUCGUGAUUUGGCAUUCAUGGUUGGUGAGCGGGUAUUGCUUCGAGUGUCGCCUAUGAAGGGCGUGAUGAGAUUUGGGAAGAAGGGCAAGCUUAGCCCUAGGUUCAUUGGCCCGUUUGAGAUUCUUGAUCGAGUGGGAGAGGUGGCUUAUAGACUUGCGUUGCCACCGGGCUUAUCAGCCGUGCAUCCAGUGUUUCAUGUGUCCAUGCUUAGGAAAUAUCACGGCGAUCCAUCCCACGUGUUAGAUUUCUGCACUGCCCAGUUAGACAAGGACUUGUCUUAUGAGGAGGAGCCGAUAGCUAUUAUGGACCGGCAGGUUUGUCAGUUGAGAUCGAAAAGUUUUCCUUCUGUUCGUGUUCAGUGGAGAGGUCAGCCUACUUAGGCAUCGACCUGGGAGUCCGAGUCCGAUAUGCGGAGCCAUUAUCCCUAUCUUUUUCCCGACUCAUGUACUUCCUUCAUCUGUCCAUUCGAGGACGACCAGUUGUUUUAGAGGGGGAGAAUGUGAUGACCUUGGGUCAUCACCUGUUUUUAAAAUGAAUUCUGCGUUUCGAGGCAUUAAAAACCUCUUUCUGUCUCACAUCGAUUUGCGUAUGUAGUCCGGGUGCAUAGCCAGAAAGUUAAUAUGUGAAAAUCUGUGAAAAUGGUAAAUUUUGAUUAUAAAAUGAAUUAAGUUGACUUCGAUUAAUAGUUUGGGUAAGUGGACUCAGACCCAUGAUUUGACGGUCCCGGAGGGUCCGUAGGAAAAUAUGGGACUUGGGCGUAUGCCCGGAAUCGAAUUCUGAGGUCCCAAGUCUGAGAAAUGAAUUUUUAAAGAAAGUUAUUUUCUGAAAUUAUUUAGGAGAUUUGGAAAUGAAUUGUGAUUAGAACUCGAUUGUAUCGGGCCGGUAUUUUGGUUCCGGUGCCCGGUACAGGUCUUAUAUGUGAUUUAAGAUAAGUGUGUAAAAUUUAGUGAGAAACGGACUUGAAACGACGUGAAUCGGAUCAUUUUUGAGAAAAUUAGAAAUUUGAAGUUCUUAAGAAAAUUUUAUGAUUUUGAUGCUAAAUUCCUAGUUGUUGAUGUUAUCUUAGUGAUUUGAAUGCACGAUCAAGUCCGUAUGAUGUUUUUAGGUUGGUGUGCACGUUUGGUUGGGAGCCCCGGGGGAUCGGGUGAGUUUUGGAUAGGCCACAGAGUGAAAUUUUAACUUAGGGAAUUAUGUAUGCUUCAGGCCUGCAGGCUUCGCAUUGCGAAGCCUGUCUCGCAAAUGCGAGCAAUGUAUCGCAAAUGCGAGAAGUGGCAUGGGCUGCCUUCUUCCCAAAUGCGAAGAGUCUGUCGCAAAUGCCACAUCUGCCUGGAAUCCCCCUUAGUCACAAAUGCGAACAUAGCAAAGGCCGGGGUUCGCAAUUCCCAUAUCUACAACCUGCAAAUUUUAUAGUUAGCCAAAAAUCAACCAUUUUUCACACUCUUUUAAAACCAAAACACUCUUGGGCAAUUUUCAAAAACAACUCUUCUUCCAAAGUCGAUUGUAAGUCAAUUUUAACUCGUUUUCUUCAAUCAUUAAUAUCUUUUCACAUGAUUUCAACUCAAGAUCAAUGAUUUUCAUGGGGGAAAUUGGGUAUUUUGGGUAGCACAUAGGUUUUUCAAGAAUUGAGGAUUUGGACCUCGAUUUGAGGUCCGAUUUCAAACAAAUUAUAUAUUUCGGUUCGUGGGAAAAUGGGUAAUCGGGUUUUGGUUUGAAUCUCGGGUUUUUUUACCAUGUGGGCCCAGGGGCAAUUUUUAACUUUUUGGGUAAAACUUUGGAAAACUCAUUUUUAUGCAUCGGGGUUGAUUCAUUUAUUGUUUAUUGAUGUAAUUAAGUAACUUGUGGCUAGAAUUGGUGGUGGAAUCAAGGUGUAAACGAUAAUUGAGACGUGAAUUGUGUUCGUGACAUCGAGGUAAGUGUUUAGUUUAACCUUUGCUUGAGGGAUUAGAAGUUGUUUCCUAUUUGCUACUUGUUUCUUGUUGAGUACGACACAUAGGCAUGGUGACGAGUAUCUAUACAUUGGUGUCGAGCAUGACCGUGAGUCUUAAAUUGUGAUUUACUUUGUUCUUGAAUAAUACUACGGAUGCUUAAAUUGAUGAUUCUCUGUAUUAAGCAAGGAUUAUGAUUGUUCUCGUGGAAUUACUUAUGAUUGAGUAUUGGUGUUAACUGAGGUAGUUAGAUAUUGGAACAAGUUUGGUUAUAGCUAUUUCUCCCUUGCCGGGACGUAUUUACUGAUUUUGUCGAUUCCCUUACCAGGAUAGUGUAGUUCUUUAUUGAUCCCUUGCCAAGACUCUUGUUAUGAUUGUUGUUGAUUAUAUAUGUGGAUCGGGUUACACGGCGCAACAAUAUUAUAUGUGGAUCGGGUUGCACGCCACAACAAUGAUAUAUGUGGAUCGGGUUGCAUGCUGCAACAAUGAUAUAUGUGGAUCGGGUUGCACAUUGCAACGGUGAUAAAUGAUAUGGAUCAGGUUGCACGCCGCAAUAGUGUUGUUAUAUAUUGGGAUCGGGUUGCGUGGCACAACAAUUGUUGAUACAAAGUGUUUAUAGAUUGGAUACAAGUUUCUUAUUGUUUUGUCGUGAAUUCUAAGCUAUCCUUAUGCCAUUACUCUUGAUUUAUUGUUGAUAUUGAUACACCCCCGCAACAUGUACCACCCUCCCAUCUUUACUUGAUUAUUCUUGUUUCAUUUUCCAUUGUAUAUUAUAUAACUGCACAGGUUCAUUUGGUAGUCUGGUCCUAGCCUCGUCACUACUUCGUCGAGGUUAGGCUAGGCACUUACCAACACAUGAGGUCGGUUGUGCUGAUACUACACUCUGCACUAUGUGCAGAUCCUGGAGCAACUCUUGGACCAUAGCAUUUGGGUGGCUACCUUCAGUCCACACGGAGAUCCAAGGUAGACCUGUAGGCGUUCGCAG
rnacentral:lncRNA from 1 species